AGAGGAUUGGAGCCCGGGAAGCUCAUUGCGAUUCCAAAGGUCACGCUGAUGCAAGAGAUGGGUUCCCAUGGUCUUGGGCAGCUCCACUCCUGUGGCUUUGCAGGGUACAGGCUUCCUCCUGGCUGCUUUCACGGGCUGGUGGUCCCAGUGACCUGCCGAGUGGGAAGAGCCGUGGCUGGCCGGCCUCCCAGUGGCGACGACGACCUCGCUGUGCUUGUGGCAGCGGCACUCUCAAAUCUGGGCACGGUGAUGGGAAGGUUAUUUGUUGGAAUCCCUUUGCCUUUCCAAGGGAAAAUAAACACAAAAAGUGAGAA
rnacentral:lncRNA from 1 species